UACGUAGGGCGCGAGCGUUGUCCGGAAUUAUUGGGCGUAAAGAGCUCGUAGGCGGCCUGUCGCGUCGGUUGUGAAAGCCCGGGGCUCAACCCCGGGUCUGCAGUCGAUACGGGCAGGCUAGAGUUCGGUAGGGGAGAUCGGAAUUCCUGGUGUAGCGGUGAAAUGCGCAGAUAUCAGGAGGAACACCGGCGGCGAAGGCGGCACUCUGGGCCGGUACUGACGCUGAGGAGCGAAAGCGUGGGUAGCAAACAGG
rnacentral:rRNA from 1 species